UACAGAGGUCCCAAGCGUUGUUCGGAUUCACUGGGCGUAAAGGGUGCGUAGGCGGUCGGAUAAGUCUGACGUGAAAUCUCCGGGCCUAACCCGGAAACUGCGUUGGAAACUAUCUGGCUAGGGGAAUGGAGGGGAGACUGGAAUACUUGGUGUAGCAGUGAAAUGCGCAGAUAUCAGGAGGAACACCGGUGGCGAAGGCGGCACUCUGGGCCGGUACUGACGCUGAGGAGCGAAAGCGUGGGGAGCGAACAGG
rnacentral:rRNA from 1 species